rnacentral:tRNA from 1 species
GUCGUGCUGGCAGACGUGGCUGUAUGCACCCGACUGCAAAUCGGGAGAAAGAAGUUCGAUUCUUCUGCACGACUC